rnacentral:SRP_RNA from 1 species
AGAUGGACUAGGUCGGGCGGUUAGGCCCCGCUCGUAUACCACAAGUGGCCUUAAGUGGGACCAAAUUCCGGGGGCGUGCGGUAGACGGUCGCGGGCCCCGCAAGCCAACGUCGAAGCCUCGUCCUUCGGGGAUGGAGGUCCAGACGACUGUGCCUGCAGGGGCGCAGGCGUCUGGUUAACCGAGGGUAGUCCGCCAGGCGCGGAAGCGAGCAGCGGGCCCUCGGACAUCUGUCGCUCGAAGGGCCGCGGGGUGGAGGAGGCACGCGGGCCUACCCGCGUCCGAACGCCGUGCAAUCUCGGCAGUCCACAU